rnacentral:rRNA from 1 species
UACAGAGGCCCCAAGCAUUACCCGGAAUCACUGGGCGUAAAGGGUGUGUAGGCGGUCGUAUUAGUCUUUCGUGAAAGCUCUCGGACUCAAUCCGGGAAACGCGGGAGAAACGGUACGACUACGAGGAUGUGAGAGGUAAAGGGAACUCAUGGUGUAGGGGUGAAAUCCGUUGAUAUCAUGGGGAACACCAAAUGCGAAGGCACUUUACUGGCACAUUCCUGACGCUGAAACACGAAAGCGUGGGAAUCGAACGGG